rnacentral:rRNA from 1 species
CUCAGUUCAGAUUGCAGGCUGCAACUCGCCUGCAUGAAGUCGGAAUUGCUAGUAAUCGUAGGUCAGCAUACUACGGUGAAUACGUUCCCGGGCCUUGUACACACCGCCCGUCAAACCAUGAGAGUUGGCAACACCCGAAGUCGGUAGUCUAACCGCAAGGAGGACGCCGCCGAAGGUGGGGUCGAUGAUUAGGGUUAAGUCGUAACAAGGUACC